GUGUUCACUUGGGCAGCACAGAGACUAAAGUCGGAACCAGACAGAGAAGAUUAUCAUGGUCCCUACUCGAGAAUGCCUCGCAAAUUCGUGAAGCAGUCCUAUUUUUU
ensembl:snRNA U6 U6 spliceosomal RNA